rnacentral:rRNA from 1 species
UGAGGAAUAUUGGGCAAUGGGGGCAACCCUGACCCAGCCAUGCCGCGUGAGUGAAGAAGGUUUUCGGAUUGUAAAGCUCUUUCGGAUGUGACGAUGAUGACGGUAGCAUCUAAAGAAGCCCCGGCAAACUUCGUGCCAGCAGCCGCGGUAAUACGAAGGGGGCAAGCGUUGUUCGGAAUUACUGGGCGUAAAGGGUGUGUAGGCGGUUAUGUAAGAUAGCGGUGAAAUGCCGGGGCUCAACCUCGGAAUUGCCUUUAUGACUAUAUAACUAGAAUAAUGGAGAGGAUAUCGGAAUACCCAGUGUAGAGGUGAAAUUCGUAGAUAUUGGGUAGAACACCAGUGGCGAAGGCGGGUAUCUGGCCAUUUAUUGACGCUGAGGCACGAAAGCAUGGGGAUCAAACAGGAUUAGAUACCC